CCCUUAGAUGUUCUGGGCUGCACGCGCGCUACACUGAUGCGCUCAACGAGUUUUAACCUUGCCUGGAAAGGUUGGGUAAUCUUUUUAAAACGCAUCGUGAUGGGGAUAGAUUAUUGCAAUUAUUAAUCUUCAACGAGGAAUUCCUAGUAAGCGCGAGUCAUCAGCUCGUGCUGAUUACGUCCCUGCCCUUUGUACACACCGCCCGUCGCUCCUACCGAUUGAGUGGUCCGGUGAGGCUUUGGGAUCUAAGCGAAAAGAGCGUUUCGCUCCUUUUGCUGGGAGAACUCAGUCGAACCUUAUCAUUUAGAGGAAGGAGAAGUCGUAACA
rnacentral:rRNA from 1 species